UGGGGAAUAUUGGACAAUGGGGGGAACCCUGAUCCAGCCAUGCCGCGUGUGUGAAGAAGGCCUUAUGGUUGUAAAGCACUUUAAGCGAGGAGGAGGGUACUGGUAUUAAUACUACUGGAUAGUGGACGUUACUCGCAGAAUAAGCACCGGCUAACUCUGUGCCAGCAGCCGCGGUAAUACAGAGGGUGCGAGCGUUAAUCGGAUUUACUGGGCGUAAAGCGUGCGUAGGCGGCUGAUUAAGUCGGAUGUGAAAUCCCUGAGCUUAACUUAGGAAUUGCAUUCGAUACUGGUCAGCUAGAGUAUGGGAGAGGAUGGUAGAAUUCCAGGUGUAGCGGUGAAAUGCGUAGAGAUCUGGAGGAAUACCGAUGGCGAAGGCAGCCAUCUGGCCUAAUACUGACGCUGAGGUACGAAAGCAUGGGGAGCAAACAGG
rnacentral:rRNA from 1 species